CUUGGUCAUUUAGAGGAAGUAAAAGUCGUAACAAGGUUUCCGUAGGUGAACCUGCGGAAGGAUCAUUAAUGAGCAAGGGUCUUCUCGGCCCGACCUCCCAACCCUAUGUUUACUUGACCAAUGUUGCUUCGGCGGGCCCGUCCCUGGACCGCCGGGGGACUGUGAAACGUCCUCUGGCCUGUGCCCGCCGGUGGCCCAAACCACAAACUCUUGUAACGAAUCGUGUCAUUGUCUGAGUAAAAUCUUAAAUUAUAAGCAAAACUUUCAACAACGGAUCUCUUGGUUCUGGCAUCGAUGAAGAACGCAGCGAAAUGCGAUAAGUAAUGCGAAUUGCAGAAUUCCAGUCAGUCAUCGAAUCUUUGAACGCACAUUGCGCCCUUUGGUAUUCCGAAGGGCAUGCCUGUUCGAGCGUCAUUAUCACCCCUCAAGCCUAGCUUGGUGUUGGAUGGCCGAUCGCGGUACCGCGACCCCUCCUAAAAUUAAUGACGGUGACCUGUUGAACCCCCGGUACAUUGAGCUUCUUAACUGAGCACGUAUCGGUCUAAAGGGUGGCGGGACCCCGGUCUUCUUCCUUAAUCGGAAAAACUUCUAAGGUUGACCUCGGAUCAGGUAGGAAUACCCGCUGAACUUAAGCAUAUCAAUAAGCGGAGGAAAAGAAACCAACAGGGAUUGCCUCAGUAACGGCGAGUGAAGCGGCAACAGCUCAAAUUUGAAAUCUGGCCUUUGGCCCGAGUCGUAAUUUGUAGAGGAUGUUUUGGGUACCGCCUCUGUCUAAAUUUCUUGGAACAGAAUGCCAAAGAGGGUAAGAAUCCCGUCUUGGUCAGCGGUAGGACCUAUGUAAAACUCCUUCGACGAGUCGAGUUGUUUGGGAAUGCAGCUCAAAAUGGGUGGUAAAUUUCAUCUAAAGCUAAAUAUUGGCCAGAGUCCGAUUGCGCACAAGUAGAGUGAUCGAAAGAUGAAAAGCACUUUGAAAAGAGAGUUAAACAGUAUGUGAAAUUGUUGAUAGGGAAGCGCUUGCAACCAGACUUGCGCGUGGCGGUUCCCCCUUCCUUUUGGUUGGGUUACUCCGUCAUGUCCAGGCCAACAUCGGUUCUGGGGGUCGGUUAAAGGCUUGGGGAAUGUACCUACUCCUUCGGGUGUAGACUUAUAGCCCCGAGUGUCAUGCGACCUCCCGGGACCGAGGAACGCGCUUCGGCUCGGAUGUUGGCGUAAUGGUUGUCAGCGACCCGUCUUGAAACACGGACC
rnacentral:rRNA from 1 species